rnacentral:rRNA from 1 species
UACGAAGGGGGCUAGCGUUGCUCGGAAUCACUGGGCGUAAAGGGUGCGUAGGCGGGUCUUUAAGUCAGGGGUGAAAUCCUGGAGCUCAACUCCAGAACUGCCUUUGAUACUGAGGAUCUUGAGUUCGGGAGAGGUGAGUGGAACUGCGAGUGUAGAGGUGAAAUUCGUAGAUAUUCGCAAGAACACCAGUGGCGAAGGCGGCUUACUGGCCCGGUACUGACGCUGAGGUGCGAAAGCGUGGGGAGCAAACAGG